UUCUAAGGGCGGUGAAGUCAGACCGGAAGGACUGGUGGAGCGCUUAGAAGUGAGAAUGCCGGUAUGAGUAGCGAAAGAAGGGUGAGAAUCCCUUCCACCGAAUAUCUAAGGUUUCCUGAGGAAGGCUCGUCCGCUCAGGGUUAGUCGGGACCUAAGCCGAGGCCGAUAGGCGUAGGCGAUGGACAACAGGUAGAGAUUCCUGUACCAGUGCUAAUUGUUUAACCGAUGGGGUGACACAGAAGGAUAGGGAAUCGCACGAAUGGAAAUGUGCGUCCAAGCAGUGAGUGUGAGAAGUAGGCAAAUCCGCUUCUCGCGAAGCAUGAGCUGUGAUGGGGAAGGAAAUUAAGUACGGAAGUUCCUGAUUUCACGCUGUCAAGAAAAGCCUCUAGGAAGAGUAGUACUGCCCGUACCGCAAACCGACACAGGUAGAUGAGGAGAGAAUCCUAAGGUGAGCGAGAGAACUCUCGUUAAGGAACUCGGCAAAAUGACCCCGUAACUUCGGGAGAAGGGGUGCUCUAUUAGGGUGCAAGCCCGAGAGAGCCGCAGUGAAUAGGCCCAGGCGACUGUUUAGCAAAAACACAGGUCUCUGCAAAACCGUAAGGUGACGUAUAGGGGCUGACGCCUGCCCGGUGCUGGAAGGUUAAGAGGAGUGCUUAGCUUCGGCGAAGGUACGAAUUGAAGCCCCAGUAAACGGCGGCCGUAACUAUAACGGUCCUAAGGUAGCGAAAUUCCUUGUCGGGUAAGUUCCGACCCGCACGAAAGGCGCAACGAUCUGGGCACUGUCUCAACGAGAGACUCGGUGAAAUUAUAGUACCUGUGAAGAUGCAGGUUACCCGCGACAGGACGGAAAGACCCCGUGGAGCUUUACUGCAACCUGAUAUGGAAUGUUUGUACCGCUUGUACAGGAUAGGUAGGAGCCGAAGAGACGUGUGCGCUAGCAUACGAGGAGGCAAUGGUGGGAUACUACCCUG
rnacentral:rRNA from 1 species